UCUAACACCCUCUCCCUGGCUCUGCCUCUGCUCGGGGCCCUACAUGGGGGCCUGCGGGGCCCUGCACGGUGGCCUGUGGGGUACAGCUCUCAUCACAUGGCCGAACUGACCUCUCCGGAAGGCGUCCGGCGGGAGGAAGGCCAUGUGCUCGCAGGGCACGUCUCGGGUCAGGACUUCCAGCAGGAAGUCUGUGUGUCCUAGUCCCUGUCCAGCCCUGCCAAGAGCAGACCUGCCUUGGAGCAGAGCAGAAGCACCUGUGCUUGCCCCCCCCAACCUGUGUGAGCCCUCUGAGCAGCAGAGCAGAGCCUGACCUGUGGGUACCUUGGUUGAAGUUCCAGCUCCAUCAUUUUCUUGCACUGGGGCAUCUGGCACGUCACCUAACCUCUUUGUGCUUUAGUUCUCUCUGCAAAUGGGAGUACAAGUGUUAGGCUGAGCCAUGUGAAAUUGCCAAAGUUUGAACACAAUGAAUGGGCCCACAAACACCACAAUUUCCUGUGGUUUAACAAAUCAGGUGUGAAG